rnacentral:tmRNA from 1 species
GGGGGCGUCACGGUUUCGACGGGGGUUCGGAUCCGUGGGAUGCAUGCCGAGCACCCUCGACUCGUAAAUCCGAUGGAACCAAACGUAACUGCGGACAACACGCAGCUCGCUCUCGCCGCCUAAAACCCGGUGAGCGCCCCAGCCGCCGGCGCCUGCGCGGUGGCAACGGGGUGUCAUUUAGCAGGCUGGUCGUGGGAGGGUGCCCGGGUGCCCCACGAUGAGAUCAAGCUCGGGCUAGCCUGGUGCGGUUUCGGUCGCACUUCGACGCACCGGGCGAACCUUGAAGCGCGACUACGCAUGUAGAGUCCUGCGAGGAUGGGCUUCCGGACGCGGGUUCGACUCCCGCCGCCUCCAUUC